rnacentral:tRNA from 1 species
GGUUGUGGCUCAGUGGUAGAGUACUUGCUUAGGACAUGCAAGGCCCUAGGUUCUAUCCUCAGCACCA